rnacentral:rRNA from 1 species
GAUGAACGCUGGCGGCGUGCCUAAUACAUGCAAGUCGAGCGAACGGACGAGAAGCUUGCUUCUCUGAUGUUAGCGGCGGACGGGUGAGUAACACGUGGAUAACCUACCUAUAAGACUGGGAUAACUUCGGGAAACCGGAGCUAAUACCGGAUAAUAUUUUGAACCGCAUGGUUCAAAAGUGAAAGACGGUCUUGCUGUCACUUAUAGAUGGAUCCGCGCUGCAUUAGCUAGUUGGUAAGGUAACGGCUUACCAAGGCAACGAUGCAUAGCCGACCUGAGAGGGUGAUCGGCCACACUGGAACUGAGACACGGUCCAGACUCCUACGGGAGGCAGCAGUAGGGAAUCUUCCGCAAUGGGCGAAAGCCUGACGGAGCAACGCCGCGUGAGUGAUGAAGGUCUUCGGAUCGUAAAACUCUGUUAUUAGGGAAGAACAUAUGUGUAAGUAACUGUGCACAUCUUGACGGUACCUAAUCAGAAAGCCACGGCUAACUACGUGCCAGCAGCCGCGGUAAUACGUAGGUGGCAAGCGUUAUCCGGAAUUAUUGGGCGUAAAGCGCGCGUAGGCGGUUUUUUAAGUCUGAUGUGAAAGCCCACGGCUCAACCGUGGAGGGUCAUUGGAAACUGGAAAACUUGAGUGCAGAAGAGGAAAGUGGAAUUCCAUGUGUAGCGGUGAAAUGCGCAGAGAUAUGGAGGAACACCAGUGGCGAAGGCGACUUUCUGGUCUGUAACUGACGCUGAUGUGCGAAAGCGUGGGGAUCAAACAGGAUUAGAUACCCUGGUAGUCCACGCCGUAAACGAUGAGUGCUAAGUGUUAGGGGGUUUCCGCCCCUUAGUGCUGCAGCUAACGCAUUAAGCACUCCGCCUGGGGAGUACGACCGCAGGGUUGAAACUCAAAGGAAUUGACGGGGACCCGCACAAGCGGUGGAGCAUGUGGUUUAAUUCGAAGCAACGCGAAGAACCUUACCAAAUCUUGACAUCCUUUGACAACUCUAGAGAUAGAGCCUUCCCCUUCGGGGGGCAAAGUGACAGGUGGUGCAUGGUUGUCGUCAGCUCGUGUCGUGAGAUGUUGGGUUAAGUCCCGCAACGAGCGCAACCCUUAAGCUUAGUUGCCAUCAUUAAGUUGGGCACUCUAAGUUGACUGCCGGUGACAAACCGGAGGAAGGUGGGGAUGACGUCAAAUCAUCAUGCCCCUUAUGAUUUGGGCUACACACGUGCUACAAUGGACAAUACAAAGGGCAGCGAAACCGCGAGGUCAAGCAAAUCCCAUAAAGUUGUUCUCAGUUCGGAUUGUAGUCUGCAACUCGACUACAUGAAGCUGGAAUCGCUAGUAAUCGUAGAUCAGCAUGCUACGGUGAAUACGUUCCCGGGUCU